rnacentral:rRNA from 1 species
GACGAACGCUGGCGGCGUGCCUAAUACAUGCAAGUCGAACGAAGCUUUUUUAACUGGUGCUUGCACCGACUUAAACAACUGAGUGGCGAACGGGUGAGUAACACGUGGGUAACCUGCCCCAAAGCGGGGGAUAACAUUUGGAAACAGAUGCUAAUACCGCAUAACCACAGAAACCACAUGGUUUCUGUGUCAAAGAUGGUUUCGGCUAUCACUUUGGGAUGGACCCGCGGCGUAUUAGCUAGUUGGUAAGGUAAUGGCUUACCAAGGCAAUGAGACGGAGCCGAACUGAGAGGUUGAGCGGCCAAAUUGGGACUGCGACACGGCCCAAACUCCUACGGGAGGCAGCAGUAGGGAAUCUUCCACAAUGGACGAAAGUCUGAUGGAGCAACGCCGCGUGAGUGAAGAAGGUUUUCGGAUCGUAGAACUCUGUUGUCAGAGAAGAACGUGUGCGAGAGUAACUGUUCGUGCAGUGACGGUAUCUGGCCAGAAAGCCACGGCUAACUACGUGCCAGCAGCCGCGGUAA